GUAUUUGCUGAAAAUAAAGCUCAACAAAAGAGGAAAAGUGAAAGGUAAAGUGGACUCAUUGAAAGAUGAAGCCAUAACUGCAGUGUAAAGAAAGAAAUUACCCACCUUCUGACAGGCCUUUUCUCAAGUUCACUCUUAGUGUAAGAAGUUAGAUCCGCUAUCAACCAUCACAUUAGCAACCACCACGUAACAGGACUGGGCUAGACACCUAACCACAAGAGUAUCCGUAGCUCGAGGAUAUUCACAUCAAGCAUUGUUUGGAAUAAGGGAAGGUUGAGAAGGAUGGGAGUAAGCAGGUAAAUUUUUCGAUUUCUUAUCGCCCUUUCUAAGUUUUUAUUUUUUCUGUGUUUGUUUUGUUUUGGACUGGGAAUAAGGGGUAGUGGAAUAGGUGACUUAAAGAGGUGUUUUCUUCAAUCCAAUUGAUUGUGUAUUUGUAUAUGAUGUU